UCCAGACCCUGUCUACUCAGCAGUGAAGACAGACAGAGAUACAGGUCAGUAGGUCGUUCCAGACCCUGUCUACUCAGCAGUGAAGACAGACAGACAGAGAUACAGGUCAGAAGGUCGUUCCAGACCCUGUCUACUCAGCAGUGAAGACAGACAGACAGAGAUACAGGUAGAGCUGUAUCUGGAUCCAGGGAAGUAAUGUACAGACUGAGUGACCCUGUUCAUCAGAACGUCAUGGUGGAUGGAAAGAGAU